UUUUUAUUAGGGGUUCAAGCACGCAGUGCUGAAACCCUAUUGUAUCUGUUAGGAUUUUUAUUAUUAUUAUUAUUAUUAUUCUCCACUCAAACUGAUCGUGCAGCCCAAACCGUAAGGCCUAGAGAGCUGAAACUUGGUCAGAUGGUAGAAGUCCGGCCUUCUUGUCAGAUCCAAAGGCUCGCCCCAAUCGGCCUAAAGGGGGCGCUACAGUGAUCAAAAAUGCGUUAGUGCUAAUAACUCCUAAACCGCUUAUCAUAGAGCCAAAAAUUUUACAUUUCCGGAAUCCGUGGGUCAUGAGAAAUUAAAAACGGUCACUCUGAUUUUGGGUCUAGGAGGCCUCGUUUUUUCGCAAAUUUGACGUAUGUCCAAAACCUACUUUUGCGAACUAGUCCUAGGUUUUUCGCCCAAUCUGAACCAAACCACUGCAGAAAUGUUCUCUGGCCAGGGAAUAUCAAUAAUUAUCAAAAAAAAGUUGAAAUUUCGACUCGCUGUCGUAAUGGGAUGCCAAAACGUUCGAAAGUCGAGGAGCAAUUUUACGUAACAGGCUAUAACUCGUGAAAGAAAUAAGAUAUCUUAACCAAACUUGCUACACAUUUGUAAGACCUAAAACUUUGGUCAAAUAAAAAAAAUUGCACACAUCUGCCACUUGGGGGCGCUAUAAAAAGAAAAAACACAUAAAUGGCUAUAACUAGGCUACCGUUGGCUCGAUCGACCUAAAAAUUGGUAUGCAGUGUCUUUGUUUGAAGGGGCACAAGUACCUAUGAGGAAAUUUGCAUAUCUCAAAAAACAUGGCCGCCAUUGGCCAAACAAUUUUAAGCACCUAUUUGAAAGGGUUAACGGAUGUUGAUCGGAACGAAACUCGCUGGGUGCGUUCGACUCAUGAACCUUAAGGUCUGUAAGAAUUUUGAAAGAAAUCGGCCACUAGUUGGCGCUAACGAGUUUAUUGGCUCUGUAAUCACGUGGUGUUUCACUUAUCAACACAAUAUGCAUAUCAUUUGAUAGAUCUCCUCAUAAUGCACAACUUUGCCUCAAGAACCAUUGCUGUCAAUCAAAUUGUUCAAAUGUUAUUCACAAAUAUGUUAAAAACCUACUUUUACGAACUAGUCCUAGGUUUUUUGUCCGAUCGGAACCAAACCACUGCAGUAAUAUUCUGUGGACUCUCUAGAUCAAUAAUUAUCAAAAAAAAUGUUGAAUUUUGUCCUUUGGUUAGCUGUAAAGGGGUAAUUUAGUAAAAGGGGUGUGGCCAAACAUACCCCAAAGCCUAUAAAACCUAAACGAAAACUCAAAACUUUAUGAAACUUCGUGGAAUCAUGUAUCAGGUGACUCUUAACAAGCAUGCAAAGUUUCAUGGAGAUCGGAUCAUAGGUGGCGCUAUAACAGUUGAAAAAGCCUCAAAAACACACAUUUUCAAUAGAAAAUGAUCACAAUUUGUAGGACAUGUUCAUACAUUCACACAAACACUAGAUCUUCAUAUCAUAUGAUAGAUCUCCUCUUUGUGAACAACUUUGCCUCAAGGAGCGAAGAUGUCAAUCAAAUCGUUCAAUUGUUAUUCACAAAUAUGUGAAAAACUUACUUUUGCGAACUAGUCCCAGAUUUUUUACCCGAUCGAAACCAAACCACUGCAGUAAUUUUCUCUGGACUCUCUAGAUCAAUAAUUAUCAAAAAAAUGUUGAAUUUUGUCCUUUGGUUAGCUUUAACUGGCUAAAUUAGAAAAGGGGCGUGACCAAAAUACCCAAAAGCAUAUAAAACCUAAACGAAAACUCAAAACUUUAUGAAACUUGGUGAAAACAUGUAACAGGUGACUCUUAACAAGCAUGCAAAUUUUCAUGGAGAUCGGACCACAGGUGGCGCUAUGAGAGUAGAAAAGGUCUCAAAACAUAAGAUUGAUAUGGUAAAUGGCCUCAAAUUGUCUGAAAAUGCUCAUAUAUUCACAUAAAAACUAGAUCUUCAUAUCAUAUGAUAGAUCUCCUCAUUCUGAACAACUUUUGGGACCAAUGUUGUCAAUAAAGCUGUUAAUUAAAUAUUGAAGAUUAUUUAAAAAAGUUACUUUGGCAAAGUAGUCCAAGGCUUUAAGCUGAAAAUCAAUAAAACCACUGAAGUACAAUUCUCUAGACUCUGAAGGUCAAUAAUAAUCAAAAACAUGUUGAAAAAUUGCAUUUGGACAACUAUAAACCAGUGAUUGUAUAAUAUGUUCUUUUCACAGUGUACACAAAGGCCUAUUUAUACAAAAAGAAAGCCCACAAACUAUCAAAACUGUGUAAAAUAAAGCCUAAUUUCAUUCUAAACAAGCAUUCAAAAUUUAAGAGAGAUUGGGCAAAAAACUUUACACUAUAACAGUUAUGUUUAAAAACAGUGUUGUUUGAGUAAAUGCAACCACUAGAUGGCAGCGGAAGACCACUAAUGGGCUCAUUUAGCAAAUUGAAACAGUACUUUUGAGAAGAUUUAUGAAUUCAUGCCUAAACAAUAAAAAAAAAAACACUGUUACAACAUUUUAAAUCUCACUGAGUUAAAGUUUUCCAUUUUGUUCAUACAGACUUACCAGUUUUUAAAAUUUUGCCACAUUAUGAUUACAGUGAAACCUGAAAAUGACAUCCAAACUCUUAAAACUAGUUUAAUCAUUUAAUUUCAGUGCGUGUGUCUGUCUGUCAGCCUAUUCUCCGUUUUGGAUGUGUUUAACUGUCAUCCGUACAUCCAGGUUGGCUCAGACCACCUCAGAGGCCUUAAUGUGCUUGAACCCCGUAAAUGCUGCUUGCAGCUUUAAUUAUUAUUAUUAUUAUUAUUCUCCACUCAAACUGUUCGUGCAGCCCAAACCGUAAGGCCUAGAAAGCUGAAAUUUGGUCAGAUUGUAGUAGUCCGGCCUUCUUGUCAGAUACUGAGUCUCGACCCAAUCGGCCUAACGGGGGCGCUACAGCGCAAAAAACUAAAAUUUUGGACAUUUUUGGCCGUAAAUCGUAAACCAUUAGCCAUAGACUCAAAAACAUGGCAUUGUUGCAAUCCUUGGGUUAGCCCGAACAAAAGUGCACGGCGCCUUUUUGGGGUCUACGACGCACCGUUUUCUCGCAAAAUCGAGCUAUAUCCGAAACCUACUU